rnacentral:tRNA from 1 species
GGCCUCGUAGCUCAACUGGUAGAGCGUGCGCGUACAGAGCGUAGGCGGCGUGAGUUCGAAUCCCACCGAGGCUA